rnacentral:ncRNA from 14 species
GGGUGUAGCGUUGCAUCGUGCAGCGAGACAGGUUUAUGCGAUGGUCGGGCCGCCACG